UGUAACUGUACUCCAUUCUACGUGUCUAGUUACUAUUUAGACACGUGCAUCAAGAUUUCCAGAUCCAUUGCAAUGGAAAGUAAGCUUGGGGAGGGAGAGGCUAAUUAUACACCAUUGAGUGCAGCGUUGAUGAAAUUCUCUUGUUAGCUUACUAGCUAUUUUCUCACGAUGGCGUGGAAUCAUUUCACCAGCGCUGCAUUCAACCAUGUUUUUCCCUCUUCCGGGCAUGGUGGUUUUGUAUUGUGUAUCAAGAGAUUGUCGAGAAAUUUUGUUGCGUUUUCAAGGACACUGCCAUGACAGAGGUGUAACCUAGAGAACCGACCAUUAUGCGUGGCUUGCAUGGUCGGCUAGAAUCGUGCUGAGUCCAUGCCCUUGCAACUGUUCUUGGUAUAUGAGAAGAUCAGUCUCCAAACUAUGUGCUGAUCUCAGACGGGUCCCCAAACCGUACAUUUUCUUAAUUGAAUCUCCAAAGCAUUAUACAUUCCUCA